CUUCAACCCACGGGGUGUCCUGGCGCUGUCCGGGCUGAGAGGCGGAUCGGGGCCGUUCCCAGUCCGCAAACCCGCGAACCUGAUCCGGCUCAUACCGGCGGAGGAAUAGGGACAUGCACUGCU
rnacentral:ncRNA from 2 species